GAUCAUUACUGAGUGAGGGCCCUCUGGGUCCAACCUCCCACCCGUGUUUAUUGUACCUUGUUGCUUCGGUGCGCCCGCCUCACGGCCGCCGGGGGGCUUCUGCCCCCGGGUCCGCGCGCACCGGAGACACUAUUGAACUCUGUCUGAAGAUUGCAGUCUGAGCAUAAACUAAAUAAGUUAAAACUUUCAACAACGGAUCUCUUGGUUCCGGCAUCGAUGAAGAACGCAGCGAAAUGCGAUAACUAAUGUGAAUUGCAGAAUUCAGUGAAUCAUCGAGUCUUUGAACGCACAUUGCGCCCCCUGGUAUUCCGGGGGGCAUGCCUGUCCGAGCGUCAUUGCUGCCCUCAAGCACGGCUUGUGUGUUGGGCUCCGUCCCCCCGGGGACGGGUCCGAAAGGCAGCGGCGGCACCGAGUCCGGUCCUCGAGCGUAUGGGGCUUUGUCACCCGCUCUGUAGGCCCGGCCGGCGCCAGCCGACAACCAAUCAUCCUUUUUUCAGGUUGACCUCGGAUCAGGUAGGGAUACCCGCUGAACUUAAGCAUAUCAAU
rnacentral:misc_RNA from 1 species